UCGAGAAUUUUUCUCAAUGGGCGAAAGCCUGAAGGAGCGACGCCGCGUGGGGGAUGAAGGACUUCGGUUCGUAAACCCCUGUCACCCGGGAACAAACCUUCCGUCGCAAUACGACGGAAGCUGAUUGUACCGGGAGAGGAAGGCACGGCUAACUCUGUGCCAGCAGCCGCGGUAAUACAGAGGUGCCAAGCGUUGUUCGGAUUUACUGGGCGUAAAGGGUGCGUAGGCGGUUGCGUAAGUCGGGCGUGAAAUACCGGGGCCUAACCCCGGAACGGCGUUCGAAACUGCGCGACUAGAGGUCUGGAGAGGUGACUGGAAUUCUCGGUGUAGCAGUGAAAUGCGUAGAUAUGACACAGAACACCGAUCGCGAAGGCAGCUCACUAAGUUGUAACUGACGCUCAGGCACGAAAGCGUGGGGAUCAAACAGG
rnacentral:rRNA from 1 species